UACAGAGGUCCCAAGCGUUGUUCGGAUUCACUGGGCGUAAAGGGUGCGUAGGCGGCCGGGUAAGUCUGAUGUGAAAUCCCGCAGCUCAACUGCGGAACUGCAUCGGAUACUCUCCGGCUAGAGGAAUGGAGGGGAGACUGGAAUUCUCGGUGUAGCAGUGAAAUGCGUAGAUAUCGAGAGGAACACCAGUGGCGAAGGCGAGUCUCUGGACAUUUCCUAACGCUGAGGCACGAAAGCCAGGGGAGCAAACGGG
rnacentral:rRNA from 1 species